UACGUAGGGUGCAAGCGUUGUCCGGAAUUAUUGGGCGUAAAGGGCUCGUAGGCGGUCCAUCACGUCGGGGAGUGAAAAGCUGGGGCUUAACCCCAGUCCUGCUUCCGAUACGGGUGGACUAGAGGUAGGCAGGGGAGAACGGAAUUCCUGGUGUAGCGGUGAAAUGCGCAGAUAUCAGGAGGAACACCGGUGGCGAAGGCGGGUCUCUGGGCCGAUACUGACGCUGAGGAGCGAAAGCGUGGGGAGCGAACAGG
rnacentral:rRNA from 1 species